rnacentral:lncRNA from 1 species
CGAGAUCAUACCACUGCACUCUAGCUUGGGUGAUAGAGCGACACUCUGUCUCAAAAAAAAAAAAAAAAAAAAAAAGGUGAAAUUCCCCCACGCCUCAUAUCUUAAAAGGACUACCUCAUGUCCUAAAAGGAUGACAUGUCCUCAUGUCCUAAAACAACUACCUACCGUGCUAUCUAACUCUCUGCCUUUGUGUCUUUGUUUCCCUUUGGCUGCCUGUCUCCAGCCACACUGACCUUAAUAUUCUGUACUGGGCCAUGCCCCUUCCUGCUGCAGGGACUUUGAAUUUGCUGUGUCUUCUGCUGAGAACAUUCCCUCUGAAGAUUCAGAACCCUUUAUACUACUCCAACACCAAAUAUUUAAUCUGUCAAUCUAAUCUUGGAUAUUUGAAAUCUUCUCCAUACAUAUCAUGAGAUAUUCUUCACCAGAAUAAGCUUUUGUUUCACUACCAAGAGGUGAGUGCAUUUUGAAAUCCACUGGAACCUCACAGGUAUUGAAUCUCUUCUGUGCACAUUUGGAUGUGGAAAAUGGAAACUUGUAAGUCUACAGAAACUAAACCAGAGCAGGUUUUAUAGUUGGGCCUAAAAUACAGUUCCUAGGGUUCAGUUUAAAAAUAUUUUCUAUUUUUUCCUGGAUUUUAUUGCAAAUGUUUUGUCGUUGUUUUGAUUCUGUUUUUGUCUACACCUGGGUUUAAUUCCUCCACUAUUAGGUACUCACUGUGCUGUGAUGGUUUGAAUGCAGGUUUGGCCUCCUCUCCAGCCUGUGACUACUGGGAAGACAGGGCACCUGUCCUAUUCACCUUUGUAUCUCUGGUGUCUCACUCAGGAUCCGGCACAGUGCUUGCCAAGGACCUGCUAUGCGCCAGGGGCUGCUGGAGCUGGGAACCUAAUGAUCACAGUGUCAGCCUCUGCCAGCCUUUGUGUGUGUGGCAGGGGUUGUUUUGAGUCCCACCAUCUUCCAUCCCUGAUGCUUGGAGAAGCUGAGGACACACAGGGAACACCAGCCCCAUCUUUUCACCAUGGAGCUUCCAGAGCUGACUUUGAAGUAUAAAGAGAAAGACCGGAUGUUGGGCCACAGUAGAGGGCUUCCACCAAAGGAGGGGUCUGGGGGCAAAGCAGGCAAAGAGGCAAGCUCCAGGCAGGGGCUGCCAGCAAGCAGGCUUCUCUCGAUGGGUACAACAGUGCUGUAAAGCUGACAAACAGAGUUUGGCUUCACUUGAAGGUGUGAAAAGAACAGCCUGACUCUGAGAGCCAGAAACAAGAUAAGCGCCUUGCAGGGGCCCUUAACUGACUGCUGGGUUCGAUGGUUCAAAGAGAAAAAGCACGUGAUAACUUUGAAGGAGGCUGCCUGGCUGAGCUGAUCGGAUCACCUAGAGACUGGAAAUGCUUUCUGGCAGUGCCUGAUCCUCUACUGGGUGUUCAACACUGGCUGCAUUUAUGGAGACCACAGACAAAAGAUGGAAACAGCCUCCACCGGCAUGGGGAUCAGGCAUGGGGCAAACACAGGAGACAAAACAGGAGAAUCUCCCGAGAACACCCUCUGAUCAGCACUCUGCAUGCAAUUUCCAUCUCAGACUCUGUUUCUAGGAAGACUUUCAGGCAGCUGACACUGGACGUGGUUGUGAGUUGCAGGCCCUAAUGAAAAAUUGGAGAGGAAGCAGGUGGCCGGCUGAUGAAAUGAUAACCAGAAGGCCUGUGGGCUUGGGUGGCUGAGGCUGAGGCUACUGAGUGUUGAAGAGAGAGAGGCAGAGGCGCAGGAUGACUCAUCACUGGUUUCAGGCAAACUGUGAAAGCCAGAGCACUUCCUUGGCAGCAUUUAAGAAAACCCCGAUGAUCUGCAGCUGGAAGGCAGGUUGGCUGGAGGACCAGUCUGAACCCUGAUCUGAAGUCACCUGCCCUAUCUGGACAUUCCAUAGACUACCACUUUUACCCACGACUUCGAUGUGGCAUGCUCAUUGGACCAGAUAAGCAAGCAGUGGCAAGUGGAUUGGAGGUCUUGGUAACCAGUUCAACCAAAAUCCUGGGACAGCUGUUCCCUGAUGCGGCACACUUCCUAGAAGAAGCAAGUGAAUUUAAAGCAGAGUGAACUGUAGAGGAGUUCACGACCAAAUCUCUGAUGCUUUCCCCAGAUCUUUCUUCAGGGCCAACACAUCCAUUGCUCAGCUGUGAUAGACAGCAGUCAGGGGUGGCUCACCUCUCUCACUGGGAAUUGCUCUCAGCAGUAGGGAACUCAUUCAGGGUUAAGGCAUCUCCUUGAGGAGGCCCAUGUUCAAUUACUGGUUGACACAGGAAUAUGAAGGCCUGGCCCUCGUCUCAGCUUGGAAUAAAUCUGAAGGCCCAUCACAGCUUCAGAGAUGCUUGGAGAAGGCUGAGGUCUCCCCUGUAACCUUAUGAGAACCUUGAGUUGUUGAACUCAUUAAUUCUUUGGGACCAUCUUCCUGAUGUUCAAGUUUGUGAAACAGGCUUUCCCUUUAAGAUUUGUUUUCCUCAAAAUACAAGACUAUUGAUGCUUCAGUUUUGAAGUGGAUUCUGCACUCAAGAAAUGUACCAUUGAAGAAUGGGACUGGUAGGAAGGGAAAAAAACUAAAAGGAAACGCAUUUUCGAGUUGCACAUCAUGAUCAGGCACAGAGUCCAGAUACACUUGGAGUAGCAAGCAUCCAUCCUUGUGGAGACGCACAUGAACCAGGACUCUCUGCACCCACCCCUCUCAAGUUUUAUUUUCCGACGGCUGUAAUGUUCCAGGACACCUGCCAUCAUGGAGGGUUAUCCAGCACCUGGAGGAUACCUGCUACCUGGUGAAGGACUUUAGUACGAUGGUCAAGACAAGAACCGUGGAGUCAGAAUGCCUGCAUGCAGAUCUCAUCACCAUGGAGUCUCGCUCUGUUGCCCAGGCUGGAGUGCAGGGGUGUGAUCUCAGUUCGCUGCAACCUCUGCCUCCCAGGUUCAAGUGAUUCUUCUGCCUCAUCCUCCUGAGUCGCUGGGAUUACAGGUGUGAGGUAUCAUGCCUGGCCCAAGAUUUACUUUAUUUGAUAUUAAUAUAGCCACAUCUGCUUACUUUUAAAAUUAAUGUCUGCAUGGCAUAUUAUUGCUAUUCCUUAAUUUCCAAUUUACCUCUAUCAUUAUAGCUUACCCACUGAUGUAGCUUUAGCAGCUGCUGUCCCAGUUCUCAAAUAUCCAGGCUAGCUUGGUGGCCCCUUUAUCCAUGGGUCAUUUAUUUAAUCCAAUCUGCCAAUCCCUGCCUUUAAUUAGUGUUUUUAAACCAUUUACAUUUAAUGUAAUUAUUCAUAGUUUAAUCUGAUGUCUGUUAUUUUAUUUUUUGUCUUCU